CAUGUGCUAUCUUCAAUUCUCUAUAACUUCUUCAUACAAACUCCAAAUGCAAAAAACUUUUCAUAAAAGAUAUAAGUCUUGAAAUCAACCUUGCGGCCGCACCUUCUAAUCUCCAAAAUCUAUCAUAAAACUCCUCAUAUUUUCAAAAUAGCAACAUUAUGUCUUAAACAUUAUCUUAAUUUCAAAUGGCUAUAAUUUCAUCACUGUAACUCCAAAUCCUCUAAAACUUGUAUAAAAAUUGUAUUCCAAAUCCUAAACCUUAUAAUUCU
rnacentral:lncRNA from 1 species